rfam:Oryctolagus cuniculus cont2.61957, whole genome shotgun sequence.
UUGAAGGUGUGGAGACUGAAGUCCUGUCUAUAUCCACAGAACAGGUAUGGCACAGGCCGCGGCAGUGCAGCUUUUCCACUGUCCCACCAAUGUGCCUCUGUCUGAGUUAGCCUAAGGGGAACAUGGCUAGGGUAAGAGGGCUGUUCAGUCUCCACACCCUUCAAUCUUUGGCUGCU